CGAACCAUAGACAUGCAUAUUAAACCAAACCCUGCACCAGAGCGAGUGUUCUGUGGUACAGCCCAUAAAGCUGUAAUAUGCGCGUGACUUACAACAAAAGAACCGUGAAAUUUCACCUUUUCAUUUUUAUGGAUUUUGAGUUAUAACGUGCAGUGAAAUUCAGACUACGGUCGUUUCCGCUCACUGAUAUGGAAGAGGCGCAUGGUCAGGAAAACGUAGCCAGUGUAACUUUGAAUGACCGGCAAGACUCUGUGAGCUUGGAGGCUCAGCUGGUCCAGCAGGAAAGGGAUCGGAAACGACAGACUCUUCAGCUCUAUGAGGCCAGGCGGAGGCAGGAAAGUGUUAUUUUAACUGUGUUCAUAUGAACGACUCUCCUGUUAAAGAUUUGCUUAUGGAAAAUAUAUGUGUGUUCAGGUGUGGGGUUUAUGUGUAGUUAACGGUUUGCAAUUUUGACAGUAUGAUUCUAUUUUGAGGAAAUAUCAUAAUAUUUACUAUUUUUACAGUCAUUUAUUACACGAUGCUAUGGUGGGAAAAGAAACACUAAGAAUUUUACAUUAAAAAGCGUUUUAUUGUAUUUUUCACACCAUUCUUUUGGUCCUGCCGAUAAAAGGUGCAUUUCAGCGAUGCUGUAUCUGCGCAAGAUCGGCUCAAAUGAAAACGAAAGUGAAGUUGCAUAGGUGACUGCUCCGCUGUGAACUGCCCCAGUUUACAGAGUUGGGCCAGCCCUAGUCCUGGCAAACAUCAGCUUGCAGGGAUGGAUGGAUGGAUGGAUGGAUGGAUGGUCUCUUAGAUGCUGAAGCUCAUGUUGGACUGUUUGGCAGCCACUUUUUGCCAACGUGUUCUGCAAAUUGUAUUGGCUGUACGUCUUCAACAACCCUCUGGUCAUUUUUUAGAUAUCCAAAAUACUCUGCUGUUUUUACAGUCUCCUGCCUGUACACUACGGUUCCCCUCAGCCGAUGAAUGUGGCACUCCCAUUCAAACAAGCCGCUAGCCAGCCAGGCACACCACUCACACUACCACUGCCACUCGCUCUCGAGCCAUGUCGAACACAAUACAGAAUACUGUAGGGUUUGUAAU